CACGUAGGGCGCAAGCGUUGUCCGGAAUUAUUGGGCGUAAAGAGCUCGUAGGCGGUCUGUUGCGUCCGCUGUGAAAACUCGGGGCUUAACCCCGAGCCUGCAGUGGAUACGGGCAGACUAGAGGUAGGUAGGGGAGAAUGGAAUUCCCGGUGUAGCGGUGAAAUGCGCAGAUAUCGGGAGGAACACCAGUGGCGAAGGCGGCGACCUGGGCAGAUACUGACGCUGAGGUGCGAAAGCGUGGGGAGCAAACAGG
rnacentral:rRNA from 1 species